UUGGCUCGGCUACUGGCUAAUCCUGGUGGCCCAGGGGCUGCCUGUGCAGUUUUCCAUGCCACAGUGUCUGAAGGCAGCCUUGUCCCCGGCACUAGCUGGUGUGGGCUAGACCCCUGCAUAUUCCAUAUUCUUCGUGUAGUCCUUUGGACAAGGACACUGGGGACAAACCAUGCAGGGGACAUCC
rnacentral:snoRNA from 1 species